CCCGAAGUAGGAAGAGUUAAUUUAUUUAUAGUUAGCGUGUUACAGCUAUUAUUAAAAUAAAUUAGAGGUGAUAUACUAAUCAAUUGCUAUAUAUCUGGUUUAACUUGUUCAAAUUAAAUUUAUAUGUAGAUUUAAAAAUCUAUUUAAAUAAAGUAGAGGGGAAAGCUUUCUAUAGGGUAGACUAUAAAUGUAUGUUUAUGGAAGGUUUAAUAAUUUUCAUUGUUUAAGAUAAAAUUUUAUCACUCUAAGAAGGUUAAGCUAAAAAAAAUUUUUUUAAGUAGAGAAUAAUAAAUAUAUUAGUAGUUGUCAAUUAUAGUUAAUAGUUAAAUUUAUUAUAGAUUUUAUAAGAGGGGAAUCCAUAAAGAACUCGGCAAAACUAAUUUCGCAUGUUUACCAAAAACAUCUCUUGAAAUAUUUCAAGUAACCUCUGCCCUAUGAAUAGUUUAAAUGGCCGCAGUACUUUGACUGUGCAAAGGUAGCAUAAUCACUUGUCUCUUAAUUGGGGGCUGGAAUGAAGGAGGCGACGAAAUUUAGGCUAUUUAGUUAUAAAGCAAAAUUAACAUAAAGGUCAAAAGGCCUUUAUAAACCAAAGGGACGAUAAGACCCUAUAAAACUUUACUAUACAGUAGGUUGUUUAGAUAAGAUUUAAAUUAUAGUUUGACUGGGGCGGUUUACAUAAAAACAAUAGAAGUAGAAAUAUUUUAAAUAAAUUUAGAGAGCUCUGAAAGGAAAUGAGCAAGUUACUUUAGGGAUAACAGCAUAAUACUCCCAGAGAGUCCUAAUUGGCGGGAGAGCUUAUGACCUCGAUGUUGAAUUGGGAAGUCUAAUAUAAGUAGAAAUAUAUUAAGAUAGUCUGUUCGACUAUUAAAUUCCCACAUGAUUUGAGUUCAGACCGGCGCGAGCCAGGUUGGUUUCUAUCUUUUGGAAGAUGUGGGUUUAAAUUGUACGAAAGGACCUUUGAGC
rnacentral:rRNA from 1 species